GCUGUGUUGGACGGUCCGGGUCGGGUUACACUUUGGACAAUCUCCCCCCCACUCUGGGGCGGGCCCUGGCAACGGGGUUUAAUACCGCAUACGAGUUCCUCCGGCAUCUGGGAUUCUGGGAAGCUUCGGUGGUGUAGGAUGAGCCCCCGGCCUAUCAGCUCGUUGGGGAGGGGACGGCUCACCAAGGCGACGACGGGUAGCCGUGCUUGGAGGGGGACCGGCCACACUGGGACUGUGACACGGCCCACACUCUUACGGGAGGCGGAGGUGGGGAAUAUUGCACACUGGGCGCGAGCCUGAUGCAGAGACACCCAGUGAGGGAUGACGGCCUUUGGGUUGUGAACCUCUUUCACCACGGAAGAAGAGAGAGGGACGGUACCUGCACAAGAAGCGCCGGGUACCUACGUGCCAACAACCUGCGGUAAUACGUACGGCAGCAAGCAGUUGUCCGGAAUCAUUGGGCGUAAAGAGCUAGUAGGCGGCUCUGUCACGUAGGAUGAGAAAGCCCGGGGCUUAACCCCCGGGUCUGCAUCCGAUACAGGUCAGGCUAGAGUUCGCGUACGGGACAUCGGAAUUCCGUGGUGUAGCGAUGAAGAUGCGCAGAUAUCAGGAGAAACACCGGUGACGAAGGCGGAGCUCUGGGCCGCAUACUGACACUCAGGAGCGAAAGCACUGACGAGACGAACAGGAUUAGACACCCUGGCAGUCCACACCGUAAUACGGUGGGCACUCAGGUGCGGGCAACAUUACACGUUGUCCGUGCCGCAGCUAACGCAUGAAGUGCCCCCGCCUGGGGAGUACGACCGCAACGCUAAAACUCAAAGGAAUCGACAGGGGCCCACACAACCGACUGGAGCAUGUGGCUUAAUACGACGCAAGCGUAAUGAACCUUUACCAAAGGCUUGACAUACACAGCCAAACCGUCCACAUGAUGGGCGCCCCCUAGUGGUCGGUGUACAGGUGGUGCAUGGCUGUCGUCAGCUCGUGUCGUGAGAUGUUGGGUUAAGUCCCGCAUCGAGCACAACCCUUGUCCCGUGUUACCAUCUGCUUUUGGGAGGUUGGGAGGUCACGGGAAACCGCCGGGGACAAAUCGGAGGAAGGUGGGUGGGGAGUCCGGUCAUCAUUCCCCUUAUGUAUUGGCAUGCCCACGUGGUACAAUGGCCGGUACAAACAAAUACGAGCCCCCCAGGUAGAACAAAUCUCAAAAAUCCGGUCUCAGGUCGGAUUGGGGGCUGCAGCCGCCCCCAUGAAAUCGGAGUCGCUAGUAAUCGCACAUCAACAAUCAGCGGUGGUACGUUCCCGGCCCGGUUGCGCGCCCCGCCCAUAAACUCCACCCAAUGGCAGGGUGACUAUCG
rnacentral:rRNA from 1 species